CUCUCUCCUUCUCUAUAUCAGAGCCUCUUGGGACAGUGAUAUACCACAAAAUUGAGGAUUCCUCAAGACAAGAUUAUGUUGGUUUAUGGCAUUCUGCCAGAUUUGUCUCAUAUGGAAAUAUAGAUAAAUGAUCUUGGAGCAGCUUGUUGCAGUGUAAUAAAGUUACAAGGCUCGUUUAGCUGAUUUUUUCAGAGAAAAUCCAAGAGUCCCUGAUUAGAUGCCGCAUUUUUGUGGUUCAGUUAUCAGUUAAGUUCCAAAGGCAGUCCAAACUGAUUGAGUGUUCAAUGCAAGCAUCACAACAACUCGGAAGUAAAGGCAUGUCUAGUAGAUUGUACUAUCAGCCAAUGCAGGAAGUUGAGGCCUACUGCAUGCCUCAGUUCCAAACUUUGGACCACCAGCUAUGCUACAGUGGGAGCAGCCAUGGAACCCGUUUAUCCAUUCUGAAUUCCCGUGAACAAUACUGCACCCUGGAGUCAUCUUCAGCAAAUCACAGUUAUAACAUUUACAACUCUCCGUCAACCAUUAGUUU
rnacentral:misc_RNA from 1 species